CACCUAGGAUAGCUUGAGGGUGAGUAAAUCAUGGGAUAAUUUUCUCUUUUUUUGGUGAACUAACCCUUUAAUGUCAUCUCAUAAAUAGGGAGUGAAGCCAGGACCGGUGAAUGCUAUGGUGGUGGUGAAGCCCAAACCAGGUGCUAAUUCAGCAAGUGGAAUAAGAUCUGCACUAUACAAGGCCUACAGCGGUGAGCUGCCAGACCAAUGAACCCUGAACCCUAAAGCUGCCUAUGCUGAUUUCAAUCCAGACUCCCUUCCCCUUAUCUGCACAAUGAAUGUCUCACCUGACAAGCCACUUGUGGACUCCAUCUACCAUCCAAGCUGGUCGUAUCCUAUCGUAUCAGCAUCCACCACCUACACCCGAUGGGGUUAUCACCCAUAAGGACGCACCCCCAUUUCCAAAAGUGCCACUAGAGGGCUACCAGUUAAAGCCAACAGAUUGUACACAUGUGCCAACAAACCAGGAACAGCUGCAUCUCAAUUCACUGUCUGUGACUUUGUCACAGUCACACCUCAUAGAAGAAGCAACAAGAAUCCAAAGUGCAGUACCUGAAUGGCAUUCACUGAGGAAGGAGAGGGUGACUGCUUCAAAUUUCAGGGAAGUUAGCCACGUUAGAGGUCCAAAUGCUGCAGAAAACCUAGCUGAGAGGAUCAUCCGAGGGAUGCGACAAACAGCACACAUGAAGAGGGGACUGGAUAUGGAGGCAGGUGCCUUAAACGACUAUGCAACUCUGAAAAACCUAAACUUGAGGAAAUGUGGACUGGUGAUUCAUCCAGAUGCACCUUGGCUGGGUGCGUCACCUGAUGGGCUGGUAUAUGACCCGCUUGAGAGACCAUCAUUUGGCUUGGUUGAACUAAAAUGCCCAAAUGCACCAAGCUACAUUGACUGCAGGUACCUCAAAGCUGACCACGGCAUAUAUAAAUUGAAGGAAAGCCAUCCAUAUUAUUCGCAAGUGCAGGGGCAGUUGCUUAUCACGGGUAUGGAAUGGUGUGACUUUGUUGUCUGUGCCCAUGAUGAUAUGUUUGUGCAGCGCAUUUACAGAGACAUACCUGCCAAAAUACCUCUCUAUGCACAAGUAAAAGAGGAGGCACAGUGCUGAGGAAAUGAAGACAUGAAUUAUACAUGAUUUUACAAAUGUGGUGUUUUAUUUUGUCAGAUCUGUUUAAAGUAUUUGUUUCAAAGUUCUAUAGUUGUUGACAAUUUCAUUUCAAAUUAUGUACAGUAUUUACAGUGAAAUGGCAUCUGAUGCACAGAAGCCAAUGGCACAUGCUGCUGGGCAUGUGCCACCAUCGUGUAACACUGACACUGAGUCACAGAACAUGUUGCAGUAUGUCAUGACGCUUCCAGUAGCGACUGACAGAUGACUUGAGCAGCUAUACUAAAUUAGGCUAUUUAUUUAGGAUUUAAGUCACUAUUAUGACAGUAUAGAUGCUCAAGUCAUCGGUCAGUUGCUACUGGAAGCAUCAUGACAUAUGGCAACAUGUUCUGUGACUCAGUGUCAGUGUUACAUGACAGUGGCACAUGUCACCAUCCACUGAUGCAUGCCAAUGAAGAACGGAAGUGCAACUAAGCAUAGCGACAUUUCUGCCUGUCUGAUUCUGCUUCUACAGCAUUAGCAAUCCCUGGCCCACCCUUUAACUAAGGGCCCAUUUUGGUAGUUAACCAAGAGACAGGCUACUGUAUAAAGUUGGUUAAUGCUGCCUGUGAGUGAAAGAGGGAUCAUGGUGUUGAAUAUCUUGUGCUCUUUCACCCUUCGAAUGAGUCUCUCAACAUGGACUCUCAGUCUUGCUAUCGACUGGGUUUUCCUGAGCUCUGGCCUAGACAGUUGUGCUCUCUUUGACAAGAACGUAGGUAUGUGUAUUUUGCAGGGGAUGAAGUCUUCCACUAGGAAACCUUUAUCGACCAUUAUAGCCAUUGUUGGUUUUAGGAGAGACACGAUACUCGACUGCUUAAGAAUUUCUUUAUCACUGAUGGCGCCCUCAUAGAGGGAUGACACAAAAGUAAGAGCACCGUGAGGGGCAAUUCCAAUCAGCCCUUUGAAGGUGCAGUGUGACUUGUAGGUCGAGAAUACCUCGCUCUGGAGGAGAAGAGAGUUUGGUGUUUGGCACCGCAGUCCAUAGAGGAAGUUAGCCCAUGUGUUGAUGAUGCAGCUUACAGUUGACUGGUGGAUUCUGAAUCUGUGUGCCAGAUCCUUCUGCAUCAGACCCAGUGACAGUGUGAGGAACUUCAUCUGAUACAGCUGCAGUUUGAGCUCUUGUCACCCGUACAAUCUUGCCUGUUGCUGGUUCUAUCUGCCUCCAAAAGGCCAUCAAGUGGGCGUGAGUCGCAAACCUGUGGGACAUAUUUCCUUUGAUAUGUUAAAUGUCCAAAGAACAGGGGUCCUUAAUUCUGGACCUCGAGAUCCACUUUUCUGCAGUUUUGCUCAACCCCAAUCAAACACACCAGAACAAGCUAAUCAAGACCUUCAUGACUACUACAACGUUACAGGUAGGUGUGUUUAAUCCAGGUUAAGGCUAAACUUUGCAGGAAAGUGUAUCUUGAGGUUGAUGACUUUAAUUGACUUAGUUGACUUUAAUUUCUAGCUAUUCUUAACAGCCUGGGUAAUUUUAUAUUAACCUGAUAAACACUUAACACAUUGUCUGCUUACCUUGUGUAAAACCAAAUGUCAUCAUCGGAGGCCGCAAACCGCUCCAAACAGAACUUGCUGUUGAGGGUUAUCUCCUCUAUUUGUUUUCGGAGCUUUGUUAUUUCCACACGUAGAUCUUCAGUGUGCUCCAGGGACAAAUCCAAGGCAGCAGGCUCAGCAGUGGAGCAGUAGUCAUGGUCGUAAGAUUCCGCAUCCAUAGAGGGGGCAUCACCAGUGUGCAAUGUGUCUGUGUUUAAUCGCGUUAUCCUUUCCCAAACUCCGGUCCGUGGGGCUGGAAGAGUGAAGUUAUUCCACUGAAAAAGCACCGGGACAGCGCCAUUCUUCAGACGUCUGCGUCCUGCUGGAGUUUGAGGCUCAAUGAGCUGGUCCAAACAAUUCUGCAGGCUAAAACUGGUGGGGAUGCAAUCUUCAGAGAGUACCAAAAAAACCAAAAGCUCGACUGACAGAACCAGGAGGAAGAUGAUCAGGAUUCUUACUGCAGAUAUGAGAUACCUCUCAG